rnacentral:misc_RNA from 1 species
AACCUUAUGGACCUGCGGGCGUAUACCUGCGGAGGGAUCAUUAAUAAAUGUUACUUCGGUAACUUAAUUAAUCCCUAACACCUGUGCAUCUUGUCGCUUCGGCGUCAUUUUAUAAACAUCAGUGUAAUGAAUGUAACGUAUUAUAACAAAUACAACUUUUAACAACGGAUCU